GAGUAACACGUAGGUAACCUACCUAUAAGACUGGGAUAACUUCGGGAAACCGGAGCUAAUACCGGAUAAUAUUUCGAACCGCAUGGUUCGAUAGUGAAAGAUGGCUUUGCUAUCACUUAUAGAUGGACCUGCGCCGUAUUAGCUAGUUGGUAAGGUAACGGCUUACCAAGGCAACGAUACGUAGCCGACCUGAGAGGGUGAUCGGCCACACUGGAACUGAGACACGGUCCAGACUCCUACGGGAGGCAGCAGUAGGGAAUCUUCCGCAAUGGGCGAAAGCCUGACGGAGCAACGCCGCGUGAGUGAUGAAGGUCUUCGGAUCGUAAAACUCUGUUAUUAGGGAAGAACAAACGUGUAAGUAACUGUGCACGUCUUGACGGUACCUAAUCAGAAAGCCACGGCUAACUACGUGCCAGCAGCCGCGGUAAUACGUAGGUGGCAAGCGUUAUCCGGAAUUAUUGGGCGUAAAGCGCGCGUAGGCGGUUUUUUAAGUCUGAUGUGAAAGCCCACGGCUCAACCGUGGAGGGUCAUUGGAAACUGGAAAACUUGAGUGCAGAAGAGGAAAGUGGAAUUCCAU
rnacentral:rRNA from 1 species